UUCGAUGAUGAUUUACUUUUUAUUUAAUCACGACGGUCAACAUAAUCAUUUUCAUUGAUGACCACUGCCUGUGACAGGGCAUUUAUCUGACA
rnacentral:snoRNA from 1 species